CCUUGACAUACUAAGAACUUUCCAGAGAUGGAUUGGUGCCUUCGGGGAACUUAGAUACAGGUGCUGCAUGGCUGUCGUCAGCUCGUGUCGUGAGAUGUUGGGUUAAGUCCCGCAACGAGCGCAACCCUUUUUCCUUAUUUGCCAGCGGGUCAUGCCGGGAACUUUAAGGAUACUGCCAGUGACAAACUGGAGGAAGGCGGGGACGACGUCAAGUCAUCAUGGCCCUUACGGCCAGGGCUACACACGUGCUACAAUGGUCGGUACAAAGGGUUGCUACCUCGCGAGAGGAUGCUAAUCUCAAAAAGCCGAUCGUAGUCCGGAUCGCAGUCUGCAACUCGACUGCGUGAAGUCGGAAUCGCUAGUAAUCGCGGAUCAGAAUGCCGCGGUGAAUACGUUCCCGGGCCUUGUACACACCGCCCGUCACACCAUGGGAGUUUGUUGCACCAGAAGUAGGUAGUCUAACCGCAAGGAGGACGCUUACCACGGUGUGGCCGAUGACUGGGGUGAAGUCGUAACAAGGUAGGCGUAGAUGA
rnacentral:rRNA from 1 species